UGGGGAAUUUUGGACAAUUGGGCGAAANCCUGAUCCAGCAAUGCCGCGUGUGUGAAGAAGGCCCUUCGGGUUGUAAACACUUUUGUCCGGAAAGAAAUCCUUGGCUCUAAUACAGUCGGGGGAUGACGGUACCGGAAGAAUAAGCACCGGCUAACUACGUGCCAGCAGCCGCGGUAAUACGUAGGGUGCAAGCGUUAAUCGGAAUUACUGGGCGUAAAGCGUGCGCAGGCGGUUUGCUAAGACCGAUGUGAAAUCCCCGGGCUCAACCUGGGAACUGCAUUGGUGACUGGCAGGCUAGAGUAUGGCAGAGGGGGGUUAGAAUUCCACGUGUAGCAGUGAAAUGCGUAGAGAUGUGGAGGAAUACCGAUGGCGAAGGCAGCCCCCUGGGCCAAUACUGACGCUCAUGCACGAAAGCGUGGGGAGCAAACAGGAUUAGAUACCCUGGUAGUCCACGCCCUAAACGAUGUCAACUAGUUGUUGGGGAUUCAUUUCCUUAGUAACGUAGCUAACGCGUGAAGUUGACCGCCUGGGGAGUACGGUCGCAAGAUUAAAACU
rnacentral:rRNA from 1 species